rnacentral:rRNA from 1 species
UCCUGGCUCAGAACGAACGCUGGCGGCGCGUCUUAAGCAUGCAAGUCGGACGGCAAGGGUUGUGCUUGCACAACUCCUAGAGUGGCGGACUGGUGAGUAACGCGUGGGUGACCUGCCCUCGAGAUGGGGAUAGCCAUUAGAAAUAGUGGAUAAUACCGAAUACGCUCAUGACCCUGUGGGGAUAUGAGGAAAACAGGCUACGGCCUGGCUCGAGGAUGGGCCCCGCGUCCCAUUAGCUAGUUGGUGAGGUAACGGCCCACCAAGGCGACGAUGGGUAUCCGGCCUGAGAGGGUGUACGGACACAUUGGGACUGAGAUACGGCCCAGACUCCUACGGGAGGCAGCAGCUAAGAAUAUUCCGCAAUGGACGAAAGUCUGACGGAGCGACGCCGCCGUGGAUGAAGAAGGCCGGAAGGUUGUAAAAUCCUUUUGAAACUGAAGAAUAAGCGUUGUAGGGAAUGACAGCGUGGUGACAGUAGGUUUUGAAUAAGCAACGGCUAAUUACGUGCCAGCCGCCGC